rnacentral:rRNA from 1 species
UGGGAUGCAGGUGCAUGCCUCUAGCAUGAAGUCAGACAAGUGA